CUUUGUAAGGUACUCCACACGUUUAAAUGCACAACUCAGAAAAGUAUCUUUUUUGGUCCAAGUGUCCUAAAUUUUGUCCCAGAAAAAAAAAAAAUGUAGCUAUAUAAGUAGACCGCAACUUUGAAAGCCAUGACAAUAAAUCGCAUUAAUUUGGACCCAUUAAUCUGGAGUACGUGCUAAUCCCAUAGGCCUAGGAGGAAGCUUAGCUUUGAAGAAAGAGUUUGCUUUCUAAGCGAAGAAGGAUGCAAACAAGCCACAGGAAACAUAGCCUACUUAGAAGCAGAUGUUGUUCUUAAAGAAACAGGUGCACAUUAAGCUGUGCCUGCUUGUGAGUCCUAAUCUCCCAGCUCACUCUUCACUGUAGACAUUAACCAACUCUCCUGCUGCAGAGUUUGAAAUUCCAGGUCCCUCACCCAUUCCAGCAAGCAACUGCUUCCAAUACAGUUAAGCAAAGAAUGCGCCCCUGGAGAUCCAGUGAGGUCCAGAGAGGAGAGGGAACCAGCCCAAGGUCACACAUCCAGCAGUGCCACAGCUGUAGCGCCUCAAGCUCUGCCUCACGCAGAUCGGGGCUCUAAUCUCAACCAGUCUCUCACUGGAUCCCCUAUUGCUCUCUGUGUGCUAAUGCAUGGAAUGCAGAUGAAGGCUGGAGCCUCCUCACGCUCUGAGAUCCAGGUAACUUGUCUUUAAAUGAGGUUCACCUACGGUUUUCUUCUGCUGCCUGUGUCUGAUGCUGGUGGCUGGAACAGACUCGCCUUGCAAGCUGAGCUUGGGAACAUUUCCACUUUUCUCACACCCACUUCCUUCCUGUUCAUCCUGAGCACAUGAGUGAAAAACAAAAGAUAGAUAUUCAAGUACAUAAUAC
ensembl:lncRNA